ensembl:lincRNA
AUGGUCCAUGAGUCUCCUCACCUCUCAGAUGGUCACCAUUUUCCACCCUUCUCUGAUGGCCUGCAGCCUUCAACAUACAGCAAAGCUGAAAUGAGACGCAGCAAUUCGACACUUCAUGCCCUCGAAGCCCGUGGAAGUUUCCACAAAACAGAGAAGUGGAGAGCACAAGCAAGAGAUGGUGACAAUCAAGACAGAACCUCAGAGAGCAUCAGCUUUGGAUGUGCAGACCAGUCACAACUCAGCAUUUCUUGCAGUAAAAGGAAUGGAAAGUGGAACGAUCGAUCUCCAGGAGCACGAGCAGCUUUGGAACGGCGCCGGCAGAGGCAGCGCCAGCUACAGAGGCAGUUCCGAGAGCAAAUGGCACAGGACAAACUGAAUCCUUUUCAUGAUAUCAAACACCAGGCUUCCAGCCCGAGUCCAUUGGAAUUGCUUCAGGCUGAAGCGGCGCUUGCGGUUGGUGAGAGCGUAAUGCAACGACUCGGUCAAACAACCAUCACGCGCCAAAACACUAUCCAUCCGAUCGGCUUGGCAGCUCCACAACCGCGCACCACUCUGCCUCCUGUUAUUAGCCAGCAAACCGCUUGCCAUAGUCUCGGUAAAAACUGAUAGUUCUCGACAUACGCAAUGACGUCGAGUCUCAUGGAUUACCUGUGAACCUCGUUAUUAGGUAUGGAUAUCAGGUGAUGGCCCCAUUGGCCCAUAUUUAUACAUUUGACUCAUUUAAACAUUCAGUAAUUGCAUUAAUCAGGUGUCUGGAUUCAAACCAUUGUCCUGGCUGCUUCAAAUUGUGUUUCCAAGCUUUUGCCUUCAUUUUACGAUGUGUUAAAAUGCAUUACAAACAAGCCAGCCGAUGUCCUUGUCAGAGUCCUGCUUCUGCAGGCUGUUUUGAAUUCCAGUGUGGAGUGACAACAAUCUUAGAGAACUACAAAGGAUUUGCUUCUGUUUAUGAAUGUGUGCCGGGACUCUCUCGCUCUUUGAAGCGUGAGAAAGAAGCUGUUUACUGCUAAUUCUCCCCGAGGGCCGUAGGGAGGGGGGGGGGGAAGCCCACUUGCACCUUUGUUUCUUGCUUUGCCUUGCCUUUCUCCGCCUAGGAAUAGGUUUUAUAUAUGAAAGUUUUGGAGUGUAACCUUUAGUGUGGUACUGGGUCUGACUGCUGUGGUUGGUCCCUGCGCCACCUCCGCUUGCAAGUGCUAUGCUGCUUCAAUAAACCGUAUAUUCGAGAACCCUCAGUUGACUCACCUCAAUUCUUGGCCAGGAUUGGUGAGGGUCUUCAUCACACUCAUGUUUUUACCCCUCAGCCCGAAUUGGCUAAGGGGUAUUGCGUCAUAGGCGUUGUCCAGGCAUCCGGGCGUCUGUCAACUUUUGGUUUCCAUCAAUUUCGAGGAGAACGCCUUGUCCGAUUAAAUCCAUUUUUGCAGUGUGUGUUGGGGCUGGGUAGAGGAAGGUUCCUUUCGUAUAAUCAGUGCGAUGCGAUAUCCAAUAUGGCGGCAAGGGCAGCCAUCUUGAAUUUGGUUUCCGGACAAUAACUUGAGAACGGCUUGACAGAUUGAUUUUAUUUUCGUGGGGGUAUAAUGGGGGUGGUUCGAGGAAGGUUCCUUUCGAUAUACAGCACAAUCCGAUAUCCAAUAUGGUGGCUAGUGCAGACAUCUUGAAUUUGGCGGGCGUCUGGGCGUCUGUCAACUUUCGGUUUCCGUCAAUUUCGAGAACGCCUUGUGCGAUUAAAUCCAUUUUUGCAGGGUAUGUUGGGGUUGAGUAGAGGAAGGUUCCUUUCAAAAAUGGGAGCGCUGCGAUUUUCAAUGUGGCCACCAUGGCAGCCAUCUUGAAAUUGGUUUCCGUCGAUUUCGAGGAGAACGCCGUGUCCGAUUAAAUCCAUUUUUGCAGGGUAUGUUGGGGUUUAGUAGAGGAAGGUUCCCUUCAAAAAUGGGCAUGCUGCGAUUUUCAAUGUGGCCUCCAUGGCAGCCAUCUUGAAAUUGGUUUCCGUCGAUUU